ACUAAAAAAGAAUAUUUACCAAAAAUAUAUGAUCCGUUCUUGAGUGGUCCUUACCGGAGACGAAUCAAUUUACUUUUAGGAUUCUCAAUGCUAAAUGAAACUUCUAGAAAAAAUGAUAGUGAGAACAUUUGGACAAAUAAGAUUCAUGCUAUCAUUCGUAAUAAUAACAACGGUUUCUUCGAUGGAGUUACAAUUCCUUACAAGGCUAACGCAAGUGAUCAAAACUCGAUUGACCUAACAGAAAUCAGUAAAAAAGUUCCUCGCUGGUCAUACAAGUUAAUCAAGGAGAUAGAACAAGUGUACGACAUAACCGAUGGAGAGCUCGUGUUAGAUUAUCAAAUUCGUUCAAGAAAAUGCAAACGUGUAGUAAUUUUAAGUGACCUUAACAAAAUUAAGAAGACUUCUACUUCGACUAUUUUUUUAAGAAUGUGAAAACUUAUUAUAUUCUUCUAAUCUUUUCGUAAGGCAUAUGAACUCAGAGCCUCACAAUGUGUUCUUAUGGAAAUGUAAGCCUCUGUUAUAAGAGAUGUUAGCUUCUUAUUAUUCAAAGAAACCAUUAAAGUAAGGCUACAAAUUAAAAUUUCACUCUAAGGCAACCCUGAAGGAGUGAGCGUUAACGCCUUUCAAACACUAGUUUGUUAUUUGAAUGGAAUGUUUGUUGGCCUGGCUCCUCUGUGCAUGCUUCAAAUUUAAAUCUAACAUGAAAUAAUGUUAUGUUAAUUGAUUGACUCAUAAUGCUAAAUUCUUCUUGAUACUAGAAACUUGAAUGGGAAUCUUUAUCAAUUGAUCUUCUACCUCAUCCGGAUAUGUUUGCUGAUGCUAAUUUGGCUCGUGCUCAAGAGGGACCAAUUGGUAGGGAUGAUGAUGGUGCUAAACGUGUUUUCUUUGGUGGAGAGCGAUUUAUUGAAGGAAUAUCUGGUGAAGCUAAUGUAAUAAAAGUCUGAUGUUUCAGUUUCUUUUUUGAGAACCUGUCUUUAUGGUGCAAUCUUAAAGAGCUCAGAGUAGGUUAUAGAAUAAUGAUUGUUUUAAAAUUCUGUUACAUUUUGUUUUGUAACCUUGAACAGAUAACAUUGCAAAGGACCGAACUAAACAGUCCACUUGGUCUUGAGGUGAAUUUAUAUAUUACAGAAGCUGUAUGCCCAGCCUUAAGUGAACCAGGUUAUUAAAUCAUUUGGUUUUAGAUCGUGAACAAGGUGUUGUAAGAUGGUGAUAUAUCAUGCUAAUGGGAUUUGUCUAUGACAUUAACAGGACUUCGUGCCUUUCUUCGCUUUUUGACGGGAUUAUAUGUCUGUUUGAAUAGAGGAGAUGUGGAUCUGAAAUCUCAGCAGGUUAUCAUUUACUCUGCUCUUUCAAAUGUACUUUUGAAUAUGAUAAGGGGAAUCUCACACAUCUCUCUGAUUCUUGUUUUCACUGGCAGCGUUCAACAGAAGCAGCGGGGCGUUCUUUAGUUUCUAUUAUUGUGGACCAUAUAUUUCUGUGUGUGAAAGAUCCCGGUUCGUACCUUCUGCUAUAAAAAAUAUCCCACCCUCUUUGGAUUAUAUUAUCUUCAAUAAUAUGUGCACUGUGUAGUUGGGAUUGUAUCCUAUGUAUUAAAAGGACUGAGUCGAUUGGGUCAGAGCUGAACCAAUCCAAUAGUGGCCAUAUUUUGGACGUUAGUAGCUAGAAUUUACCAUCUGAGUUUUGAAAGCUUAACUCAACCCUUUAGUAUGUUCAAGAUUUCUUCUUUCCUGAUUUGAAACUAUGUUUAUGAGCGGAUGAAUAUGUAGAGUAGGGGUCAAAAGCCUCAAUCCUUGAUAAGGAAGUUCAAAAAGUUCAAAAUAUCACAAGGAGUUUAAGAGGUUGUAGUCAAAAGGUUUGAACAAUUUGGACGAAGAUAAACCACAAAAACAAUACGAUGCUGCGUGAAGGCAGGGUUAGUACCUUAGUUUGGAUUUUAAAAUCACCUUGCUUGAUAAGGCCACAAUGUUGUAUUCUUUAUAGGGAAGCAGCUGAGGAGCUCGAUCAUUAUUGUGGGCUUGUGAUUUUGCUUGUUCAGCUAAACCCUAAAAUAACAUUAUGGAUGAUAGUGUCUAUAAUAUUCUUUGUCAUUUUGCCCUUAUUCCAGAAGAUUCUUGCAUUUAUUUCAUUCAAAAUCAUCUCCUAAACAACCCAAAUAAUGCAUAGCCACAAACGUUCUUUGGUGGCUUUGAAAGGUGGAUCAAUUAACAACAUUCGGAGCCAACUCUGUGUGUGUCAUUUGGAAAAGCAACAGACCAAUUGAAGGCAAAAGAAAUCACACCAGAUCUCUCUACAAGUGGGACAAUCAAGGAAAACAUGCUGGACGGUUUCAUUGUUGGUUUGGCCAAGGUAGCAUCAAGAGAGAGAUAGACUGGUCCAUGGCAAUGUUUCUGUUCUGUUACCUGGCCAAAUGACACUGGGAUACUGUAUAUUUUGGCUUUCUCGGGGAAAUCUUGGGCAUAUUUAACACCAAAAUUCGAUAUGUUUGAGAUUUACGGGGAAAUUUUGGGCCAGAUUAACACCUAUAGUCUCUAUAUAUUUCAAACCUUAUCCAAUUUUUCGCAAAAUUUGAUUGUUUCAUAAUUUAAAAUGUUGAAUCAAUUUGGAAAAUCUAUUUUGAUAAUUGGAAAACCCAUUUGAAAUUUUAGAAAUUCAUAUAGUUUUGUGAAAACAUAUAUUUGCUCAAGAUUUGAAAAAUUAUGUUAUAAAUUGUUAUAAUAUUUAGUAAAGAUAACUGAAUUUGAAGAGAUAAAAUUUAACAUAAGAUUUGGGAAGAUUACAUAAAAUAGUUCGCACAUCUCGAUGCUAAUAUGACGAGAUGUAUUGAGAAGGCCCACAACAAUCGAUAAGUUAGAGAAGAAAAUUUGGAGAAAAAAAUAUUUGAACAACUUAACAAAAAGCAGGCUAGUUUUUACCUUUGAACUUCAAAUGUGUUAUUUAUGACAAUUUCCCCCUCUUACAUUAGAGGUGAGUGUUUCCUUCUGGAAUCCUGUAGUGAAAAAAGUCCUGGAAUAGCUCUCAUCCCGGGAAAGAGAGGAAAAGGGAAAAUGUGUGCUUUUUUGAGGGAAACUAUUGAUUUUCAUGAUAGCUUGGUUGUUUUGGCAUGUUGGUAUUCAAGUUGAUUAGUUUUUUUUGUAGCUUUUAAGUUCGUAAUUGUUAGGUAGGAGCUCUGAUAGAAUUUUACUUGUUGUUUAUAUACUUCUGUUUCCCUAUUUCAAUUUCUUACAACAUUGUACUGUACUUGCAGAGUUCCAGCUUGAAUUUUUGAUGCAGUCACUACUCUUUUCUCGGGUAAUGUUCCAUACAGUUGCUGCUUUUAAUUGAAAUUGUAUCAAAUAAUUUUUUUUUCUAGUUCUCUUGGCUUGGUGGGGCUGGGAAUCACGGACAGGUGUGGGACAUGGAUAUAUUUGAACAUGUCUCAUACUUAUGUUUGAUGCUUGACAAAAAUUGUCCUAUAUUACUUUUAUGCUUUUUUAAUUUUACACCCAUUGAAAACACACGGGACAUGUCAUACUCAGACAUAUCAACCAAAAACACUGAUGAGAAAAUAGUAACAACAUUUAACCCAGCCUAUUACCAGGCUCAUAUUUCAACCUAUUUUAUCAAUAGAAGUUCCGUCUCUAAAAUAGGUAAUGUUAGUUAUUUAUCGUUCUGUUGUUUUAUUUUCCCACUUUGUUUCCCUAUCUAGUGGUUUUAACCAAUUACAGAUUAUUGGAAAAUUUCAAUCUUUUGGUAGAUGAGAUGGUGUGAAUUAACAAUGUCCUUAAAGUCCUGUUGUGAAGUAACAAUUUUCUUCUUUAAACGUUACUACCACCAUACCAUUGUAGGGUUAUGAAUUAGUCUAGUUUUUAUUGAACUUAUGACACUAAACUGCUCAUUAGAAUACAUUUACUUCAUCUCUAGAUAUCCCCCUCUCCCCUCCACCUCUCUUUAUCAUGCCUCAAUAUGGGUGCUCUUUUAUUGCAGGCUAGUGUUAGCGAUGGACAAAAUGACAAUAACUUGACAAGGGUCAUGAUUGGUGGACUUUUUUUGAGGUAGCUUGAGUUUUCAUUAUCAUUUUUCUUUUUUAUUUUGGAUAAAAGAUUUGAACUUCUAUUGACAAGGAAUGAAAUAAUAACUACAUAAAAAAAACCCGAAAAAAAGGUCCACCAAAGGAACUCUAGUAAAUAAAAUCUUAUUUAUAAUUACAAAAAGAUUGCGUCACCAAUGCGUACAGAGAAGUAUAGAACUUAGUGAAGGAUCUAUACCUUGAAAGGUUAUUUUGUUUCUUUCCCCUUAAAGACCCCACAAAAUAGCAUGAAUACCAGCUUCUCCAAGUAAGGGAAAAGGAUGAUGACAGAGAAACUCUUCAAUUAUCUCCUUGUAAUCACCAUGUCUAGCAACUUGAACUCCGAACUUUGCAAAAAAGUAGGUAACAUGAUUGAGUAAACUCAUUGCUCCAAAGGAUACAAUCCAUUGUUAAUGGUUCGGCAUCAGGUCCUGCAAUAGGUUCUUUUCAUUACACUUAUUCGGUGGUAAGUACAGCGGUUCGGGUAAUAUGAGCUAGGAGGUAAGUCCUCUUUCUCUGGUGUCUUAUCCUCCAUUGGUGUCGGGAAUGUUUGACAGUGGGAAUGGUAUCAUUCACCUGAAUUAGUUGUAUUCGGUUCCUUGUAGUUGGGGGAGGGCAAGUUGGGAUUGAGAGUUUUUUUCAGCAGCUGGUCUAUUUUCAAUCUUUUCCUCAGUCGAGGUGUGCCUUACCCUCUGCAAUUACUCUUUCAAUGGGAGAUAGGUGGCCGAUGCUUAAUACUUGGAUCCAUUCUGCGGGUGAUGGGUCGAGGAGAAGUGAAAUGCUUCUAACCAAUGGAGAGAUUGUUGGAAAUUCUUUAACAAUUUCCAACUCCACAGGCCUUCAAACUCCUCCUUCCAGCAAUGGUUUAGAGAAUCCGGGGUGGGCAGCUUUAGCCUUGGUGGGAAUUAAAAAAUUGAAGGCCAAGGGAGGCAAAGAUGGGAAACGGAUGUUACACACUUUACAAAAGGUGGGUGUAGAGAAGAGAAAGAGGAAAGAUGGGGGAGAUAAGCUAGCAUGGGAGUUAAAGAAGUUGGAUAGUUCAGUAAUUUACUGAAGUAAGAAAGACCUAAAAGGGGUGGGGCUAUUGACUUCUAAAUGUUAAAAAUAUUCUCUUGGAAUGUUAGGGGGGUUGAAGGGGCAAGUUAAAUGGAGACUUGUGAAGGAGGUUCUUAAAGAAGAGAGUCUGGAUAUAAUUAUUCUUAUGGAAACUAAAAGGAUUCUUUUUGUAGGAGUAUUGGAAGCAUUUAGAGGAAUAGAAGGGUUGAGUGGGAGAUCUUGGAGUGACUUCAGGGAGAAUUCUUGUUAUAUGGAAUACUAGGUCUUGGUCUGCAACUAAGGUGGUUAGGGGAAUUUUUUCUAUCUCUAUCUCUUUUUCGGAUAGUGAAGGUAAAGAUUUUUGGGUCUUAGGGGUUUAUGGUCCCCCAAGACCUCAAGGGAGGGAGGCUUUUUGGGAAGAGUUGGGAGAUCUAUAUGGCUAUUGUGGUUCGCGUUGGUGUGUGGUUGGAGAUUUUAAUGUGGUUCGAUCUCUAGAGUAGAGGAAGUCAGAUGUAGGAUAACUACCUCAAUGAGGGGGUUCAAUAAGUUUAUUGAAGAGAGUGGGUUAUUUGAUCCUCCUUUGUUAGAUGGUAAUUUCACCUGGGCAAAUAGCAGAGAAACUCUAGGAUUGGUAGAUUUCUUUUGUCAGAAGCUUGGAUUGAUAGGUUUGGUUAUCCUGGACAAACUAGAGGGCCUCGAGUUAAAUUAGAUCGCUGGCCUAUUAUCUUGAACUCAAGAUCAUUUAAAUUGGGCCUGAGCCCCUUUUGUUUUGAGAAUAUGUGGCUGGAGCACACAACACGACAAUGAUACAUUUAUUCAAAUAUUCAUUUUUAAAAAAUAUAUAUGAUUUUUGUAGUAAAAGAAAAUUCAUAAUAAAUAAAUGAACUAUGGUAUCAACAAAAAAAUGUUCUUUCUGUAGAACUCAGGUGGUAUAAACAAGGAAACAUAUUUAAGGAAGGAGUGUAUUCCCCAUCUACUUUUCCUUAAGAAUAUGUUUUCUUCCCAUCAACCACAAAGUCAUGAACCUGUGAGAGAAAGAAGGUAGCUCACUGGAUAUGUUUUUUCCAGAGGUUUUUGUAAGUGGUUAUACCUCACCUGACAUUCACUUAAAAGGAUGAGUACCAUAAUUGCUUGUUGUAAUCUUUUACUAUAGGGUAUUAUACCCAAAGGGAAAACGCCGAAACCAUUUAGCUAGGUGGGCUUUAUUUUGAACUUUUAAAUUUCCUAAUUUUAAACCCCCUAGGUUCAUUGGCCUUCUCAACAGCUCCUAAUUCACCUAAUGGGCCCCCUUCCCCUUAAUGACCUCUUCCACCAAGAAUACCUAUUCAACUUCUUAAGAUUCUUGCACAACAAAUGGAGCCCUCAUAAGGGAAAGAAAGUAAUUGGGUCAAAACCGGAUGGAUGUGGUACUUCGCCUCUGGAGAAGCUUCUCUUCCAAGAUGCAUUCGUUUUAUGCGUCAUGUCACCCAAAUGUCCCAAAACUGAAGGUUUCUUGGAUUAUGACCCAGGGUAAGAUCAAGUUCAGGGGAAGGGAGUGAAUAAAAAAUUUGUAUAUUCUUGAUAACACAACAUUUUCCUGAAUACAAUUAUAGCUAGUUGUAUUUAUUAAUUUGUCUAAAUGGUAGUGUUGGAGUGUUUAAGUUACUAUGUGCUAUUUGACCUAAAUUUGAUUUUGUAUGUAUGUAUUCAGUUGAUUCUUCUUUUUGAAUGUAUACGUUUUUAGGGAUAUAACCCUACUUGAACAAGAUGUGUUCUAUAGGCUGUACAAUUGUAUCCUCGAGUUCUAAGAAUUUGUACCUUUUUAGGGAUACUUUUUCACGCCCUCCAUGCACAUUAGUUCAACCAGCGAUGCAGGCUGUUACAGAUGAUUUUUUACAUGUUCCAGAAUUUGGUAAUGUCACUGGCCCUUUGUUUAGUUUCAAGAAAUCAUUCUUGGUUCUAUAGCUUAAUAAUAUGCGUUUAAGAUUUGAGAUUUGAAAUGCAUCUUGUCUAAUGCGAUGAUAACUUCUUUGCUGGACAGCUAGGAACUUUUGCCCACCAAUAUAUCCUUUCAAGGACAAGCAGUGGGGAUUAAGUGGAAAUGUUCCUUUAUUGUGUCUCCACUCUGUGCAGGUUAAACCUUCUCCAGUCCCCCCAUCUUUUGCUUCCCAGACCGUCAUCCACUGCCAACCUCUCACAGUAUGUAAACUAUUUUUAAGAUGACCAUUCUAGUUAACUUAAACAUAUUUGGGACCGUCAUUUUUCUAAACUUGUUUUCUAUCUUUGUAAUUCUCUUACAGAUUCAUCUUCAGGAAAAAUCAUGUUUGAGAAUAUCAUCUUUCCUAGCUGAUGGAAUAGUUGUCAACCCUGGUUCUGUGUUACCAGAUUUUUCCGUUAGUUCUAUUGUACUUUCUCUCAAGGAGUUAGAUGUUUCUGUUCCAUUAGAUGUGGCCAAAUCUUCCGAUUAUCAUGGCAGCUGGGAUGGCAUUUCUCAUAGCUCUUUUGACGGAGCUCGGCUUCAUAUUAAGAACAUGCAAUUUUCUGAAUCACCUUCUCUAAAUCUUAGACUACUGAAUUUGGAUAAAGAUCCUGCUUGCUUCCUUCUCUGGGAAGGUCAACCAGUUGAUGCUAGCCAGAAGAAAUGGGCCACUAGUGUGUCUCAGAUUAGUUUAUCAUUAGAAACAUACAAUAAAGUGUCUGGAUCUAAGAGAUCUGAUGCUAUUUUAGCCUUGUUGAGAUGUGUGGAGCUGACAGACGUUUCCAUUGAGGUAGCUAUGGCAACUGCAGAUGGAAAAACAUUAACAGCAAUUCCCCCUCCUGGGGGUGUUGUUAGAGUUGGGGUUUCCUGUCAACAGUAUCUAUCAAACACCUCGGUUGAUCAACUAUUUUUCGUUCUAGAUCUUUAUGCAUACUUUGGUAGAGUUACUGAAAAGAUAGCACUUGUUGGAAAGAAAAAUCGACCAAAAGAAAGUGGAAGUAACAUGUUGGUUGGAAAGCUUGUGGAUAAGGUACCAAGUGAUACUGCUGUUAGUUUAUUGGUAAGGAACCUUCAACUUAGAUUUCUGGAGUCUUCUUCCACAAUUAUCGAGGAACUGCCGCUUGUUCAAUUUGUUGGUAAUGAUAUGUUCAUCAAAGUUUCUCACAGAACGCUUGGUGGUGCUGUUGCUAUUACAUCCACAGUACGAUGGGAUAAUGUUGAGGUGGAUUGUGUGGACACCGAAGGAAAUACUGCAUAUGACAAUGGAACCAUGUCAACUUCAAUUGAAAAUGGUUCUCUGAUGAAAGGGAACGAAUUAUCUCAACUAAGAGCAAUCCUUUGGGUACAUAACAAAGGGGAUAGAUUCCCAACCCCGUUUCUUGAUGUUAGCAUAGUGCAUGUGAUUCCCUUAAAUGAGCGGGACAUGGAGUGUCAUAGUUUGAAUGUGUCGGCUUGUAUUGCUGGAGUGCGUCUAAGUGGAGGAAUGAACUAUGCUGAAGCCUUGCUGCAUCGAUUUGGAAUUCUUGGUCCUGAUGGGGGCCCAGGAAAGGGUCUGAUGAAAGGUCUGGAGAAUCUACGGGCUGGGCCACUUGUGAAGCUUUUCAAAACUUCACCUCUUCUUACUGGCAAUUUAGAAGGUGCAGGAACUAUAUGUUGACUGCUUAAGAAUUACAUUGUUCAUGCACUCUAAUUUAUAAUGACUUUUGAGGAUGAUGGUAUCUUCUGUUCUCGUCACCAAAGUUUCCGUUUUUAUCUGUCUUCUUUAAAUUCUUUAGAAAUUGUUUUUUUACAAUCUUCAAGUUGUAAUUUUCUGUGGAAUUUCAGGAGAUGGGAAAGAAAGCUCGCUAUUGCAAUUAGGAAAGCCAGAUGAUGUGGACGUUUCCAUAGAACUUAAAAACUGGUUAUUUGCACUUGAAGGUGCACAGGAAAUGGCAGAAAGAUGGUGGUUUUAUAAUCCUAAUAAUGCAGGCAGAGAAGAGAGGUGUUGGCACACUUCUUUCCAGAGCUUCCGAGUAAAAGCGCAGAGUAGACGGAAGGAGCCACUUAGUGGCAAAGGAAGCUCACGUGGAACUCAACAGUUUCCUGUGGAGUUGGUGAUAGUAAGCACCUCCCAACUGAAUUUUAAAUUACAUAAACUGACUAACCAUUAGCAAUUUACUCCCUUUCUGGUGCCUACCGAUUUUGUUGAAUCAUUCUCUUUCUUUCUCCCUGCUUGUGGUUUAAGUUCCAUCUAUAUGCAUGAGCUCAAAUAUUUGUAUCAAAUUCAGUUGAGCGUGGAAGGCCUGCAAACAUUGAAGCCUCAUGUUCAAAAGAACUCCCAUCAUAAUGUCUCUCUCAUUAAUGGGGUGAAUGAAACGAUCGAGCCACUUGGAGGGAUAAGUCUUGAAGCUCGCAUGGUGGUGUCUGAGGAUAACGUUGAUGUUGAGAUGGCCAACUGGAUUAUGGAAAACUUGAAGUUCUCUGUCAAGCAUCCGGUAUUUGACAAUCACUUUUCCUUGUGUGACCUCAUAUGUUUGGUUAGAAAUUGUUUUUAAGCAUUGUUAUUCAUGAUAGAUCGAGGCAGUUGUUACAAAGAAUGAGCUGCAACAUCUUGCCCUACUCUUCAAGUCAGAAGUUGAUUCAAUGGGUCGAAUUGCUGCUGGAAUUCUUAGGCUACUAAAGCUGGAGGGUUCUAUUGGUCAAGCCACCUUGGAUCAGCUAAGCAACCUUGGUAUGUCAGUUUAUUACUCAACAUCAUGAAUACUACGCUUUUGAAAAGUUCUCUAUUUGUGCCUACAAUCCCCCAAUUCGUUGAAGUUCACCUUCCGCUUGAUUUUUUUGUCUUAAUUUAUCUUUUUUACCUUAUGAGGAUUGAUUACUGGUUGAUUCUUAUUAAUUCCAGGAAGUGAGAGCAUUGACAAAAUCUUCACUCCAGAAAAGCUUAGCAGGGGAAGUAGUAUGGCCAGUUUGGGAGUGUCUCCGUCAGCAUAUUUGAUCGGGGAAAGCCCACGUCCAACCAUAGAAUCUACAGUGACUUCUCUGGAGCAGGCUGUUCUUGAUUCCCAAUCUAAAUGCACUUCUCUCAUGACCGAACUUAGUAGUUCAGAUUCGUCAUCACAUGUUGCAACUAUUAAACAACUCCAUGAGAAACUCGAUAGCAUGCAGACAUUACUGUCAAGGUUGCGGAAUCAAAUCUGAUUUGCAUCUGCUGUUGUCUUAUUUUUCCAUGGCUAUGCAGUUGGAGGUUCAUCAGGUCGAGUUGGCUAUAUCCUAUUUUCAGGAACUAGCUACUGUGACGUGACCAAUAUUUGCUCUUCGUUUCGAACCUGCAGCUGCCAUGCUCGUCUCCCCUGAAACUCACGGGGUGAUUAAAGAAUUGUGUAAUUCAAGAUAGAAAGAGGUUAUUUCCCAAAUAUAUAGUUCACCAUUCUUUCUCCAGUAUAUAUACAUAUAUAGAUAUAAAUAGAAAUGCAAGUUGAGUGUAUGUAAUUUAGCUCGGAAGAAAUGAUAUUUCAUUUUUGUAGACUCAGAUUCCUCACUCAAAAGUAAUGAGUUUUGUACAUGACUUUAUUAUAUAUAUAAUGCUCCAUCAUGUAGAAAAGUAAGAAUGUAUUCGUUUAAGUGCGAACUCUAUAUAAAGUGUUAAGUUAGGUUUAUUUUGAUGCAUUAUUAUUUGUACUUGCCCCUUAGUAGUUAAAGUUGUGUUAAGUAUUGAAUACUAGACGAUAGAGUAAAAUCUAAAGGUUAUAAGUAUUUUCGCAGCAAUGGGAUGUGGAAGUCUCUAAGUCCAAGGUAAAAGUUUCGUAGUAAGACAAGCUGAAGGAAAUUGUUUCGCUUACUAGACGCUCAAUGCAUCAUCUUGAGUCAAGGUGCGCAAUGAGUGUCUAGACGACACACUCUCAUCUGGUUGCAAGAGGUGACAUUUGGGAUGGAGUGUAACAUUAUCCAUUAUAAAAAACUUCUCACUUCUUUAUUAAUCAACAAAUAUAUGUUUUCCUCUAUCUAAAUUCAAUGACUUAUUAAAUCUUAAUAACAAAAAAGAGAUAAAUAAAAAAUCUCUUUUAUGUUAUGAAAUGAGAGAUAAAAGAAGAAAAAUAAUAAAGAGAUUAAUCUGGUGGUAAAUUAACCUCUAAUGGAGAGAUGUCUUUCAAAUACUUUGUACGAUUACUGCUUACAGGGUUACAGAGUGUAGGUUAUAGGAUGUUCCCAAUUUGUAAACAAAUUGUAAACUCAUGACUUCAAUUGAUCAUACCUUAAUACGAGAGAGGUGAAUGGAGACAGGUUACCUAUUAUUUAAUUAAUUUUAUGUAAAAGAAAUAUAAACUUAGACUUACUAAAGGUAUAGGGACUAAAAUUAGAUAAUUAAUAAUUUACAAAUAAGAACAAUGAUUUUAAUGCUAAAAGAGAAAGAAGAAAAUUUCAACAAUGAAUAUGUUUUAAAAAAUGACAACUUACAAAAAAAAAAAAAAAACACAAAACAAGUUAUAAUAAUUAAGUCUACGCACACAUAUUUAAUGUUUGCAAUAAUGGUAAAAUUAAACAAAGCUCAUCCCACAUAUACAAUAUGUAAAAUGUCAUAAAUGCUCUCGCUAAUGGUACACACUUGAUACACACAUGAUACAUUGAUACUCCUUGAUACACUUAUACAUUUGAUACUUCUUGAUAACUAUUGGACCUUGAUACACUUGGUGAAUUACCAUACUCUUUGAUACACUCAAUACCUCUUAAUACAUUUGAAACAUCCAAUACUUCUUUUUACACUUGUUUCUUUUUUAUACACUUGAUACCCUUUUAGCCUUGAUACACUUGAUGUCUUGUUAAUAAAAUUGUUAUGUUUCAUUGGUACAUUCAACAAAUUUAAUACGUUAUAUACAUGUGAUAUGUUUGAUACACCUGAUGUAUUGUAGAUACACUAAGUAUUCUUCACUUAUACACUCGAAGAUUAAAUACGCAUGAUAUGCUUGAAGUCCUACUUAUACACAUUUGAUACACUAUUAAUAUACACUGGUAAACUUGAUUGAUAUACCUAAUAAUGAUUCACUUUACUAAUAUGCUGAUAUACUUUAAUAAAAUAUUGUUGAUAUACUUUGUAAAUAUUGAGUUAUAUCGUUCAUAUACUAUUUAAUCAAUAAACUGCAUAAAAUUAAAAAAAUAAAAAUCACCUAGUAAGUAUAUCAACCUACUAAUACAUAUAAUAUAAGUACAUCACAACACUAAUAUACAAAACUGAUACAAAGUAAAAUCAAAACAAAACCAACGUAAAAAAAUAAAACUAAAUCAUUUGAAAUCAGAUUUAACUCAAAAUACACAUAAAAGAAAGUAGAGAAAAAUAAAAACCGAAAUUAAAUUACUCCGAUCAACAACCAUUAUAUUUCAUAUUUGAAAUAACGUGACAUUGAUAUCAUAAAAUCAAGAUUAAGAUAAGAACAAAUUGUUUUUCCCAUAUAAGAAAGGAUGAAUAGGGUCUUAAAAAGGAAAGAAGAAGUAUAUAUGUUAUUAAAGAAACAAAUUGUUUUUCUCAUAAGAGAAAAAAUGAUUUAAGGCCUUAAAAAGUGGAAGAAGAAAUAAUAGAUGAUUAGGACAUUAAAAAGAGAAAAAGAAAUAAGUUAUUGAAUGGUAGUUUAGGAAUAAUAACAAACUUAAGAUGAAUAGUGUUUUAAAAAAUGAGAAUUUUACCAUAUUUGCAAAAUUCAAAAGCAAUGUGCUUUGCUAUAUUUGCUAUAACAUAUUCUCAAAAUACUAUCCAUUUCAAUUUUUCUUUUAAAAAAACGUGUAGUAAAAAAUACUAAUAGCUAAUAAAAAGUUGGACAGAAUAUACCUUUGACCUUUGACCUUUGACCUUUGAACUUGAUAUUUAUUUAAUCCAUGAGUUUCAAAAGAGAUACUUUAGUCCUAAAAUUUGAAGAUAACGCUAAAUAGUCUCCAAUGUAACUUCACUAAUGGACUUGUGAUCUGGUCUAAUUGCAUAGAAAAUUUUUAAUUAAGUAUGUAGCAAUAUAUUAUAUUCAUGUGGGUAAUACUUGCUACAUUCCAAGAUGCACACAUCUCUAUGCAUCCCACCCUUAUCACUUACAUAAAAAAAGAAUUAAAAUAUUAUAUAGAAGAAAAAAAAUUCACGUGUCAAACUAGUAUCGAACAAUUUGAUAAGAUGUACAAAGAUAGAAACAAUCUGUGUUGAACUGAAGUAUUUUGUAUUCAUAUUUACAUGGGUAUUUUUUUUCUUCCCUCUUCAUCAUGUCUCUUGUAAAACAUAGAAACAUAUACAAAUACGCGAUACGAAUAUGAUCGAAUAUGUUGGUUCGUUAAUUUUGAAAAACUUAUAAGAUACAAAUACGUCCAAUGAUACACUGUUUUUAAUUUACUAGUUAGAAGAUGGAUAUGGCUACAAGUUUUUAUAAUAUAAAGUUUGAUGAUAUAAUUUAAAUUUUGAUUAAAUAUUCAAUUAAUUGAAUUAGUAAGCAGUUUUAGGAAAAAUUUCAUAAAUAUAACAAAAUACCAAAAUAUUGAUGGUCCAUUUAACAAAAUCAAAAAGCUCAUAAAGUCGGUCAUUUCUUAAAAUAUUUUAGAUUUGUCAUUUCUUUCUAUCUUCUUUUAUAAUUUUUCGUUUAUAUAUUUUUGAAAUCAUGAUAUUUGUUUUCAAUCAGUCGUAAAUCUUGUAUCGUUGUUUGUCCAAGUUGUUAUUUGGUUCAAGGUUAUGUAUAAAAAAUAAAAGACGAUCUUGAACAAAAAUCAUUGACAUGUUGGUAUACGAUCAUUUAUAUUUGGCUACACGAUUGUAUACCAAAACGAUCUUGUUACAUGAUCGUGUAAAAAAUAUAUUAAUUGUGGUGGUUGGGACAUUUUUUAAUUAUUAAUAAAAAAUCGCUUUUUUUGUUAAUAUAGAAAAGGUGUUUGUAAAUUUAAUUUUAAAAUUUGAUAAGUAAAACUCAAGGAUGAUUUCUUAUGGUUAGGAUCCAGGCCAAAUCAUUUUAUGAAAGACAAUUACAAUGAAUCUUCCAACAAGUUUCAAGUAUCUAAUACAUACAUGAAUAGAAAUACACACACGUACGUAUGUGACAUAUGUGACAUUGAUUCAUUACACAUUUUGAAGUAUUUAUCUAUCCAUCGUAGAGUAGGCAGGACAUCUAUUAAUUUGAUAUUAUAUUCCAGUGCUUGAUUUAAUAUUAUAUUUCUAUCUAGUUUCUAAAAUACUUGGUAUUUGGAAAUUAAAUAGAGAUUAUUGUUAAAGGUGGGAGGUCAAAAGUUUGUUUUUGCUAAAACAAAAGAAAAAACGUUUUAUCUUUCUUAGAAAAUCAACUAUAAAUUGAGGGGAGGAGCUAAAUUUAAGAAUUAUAAAGUAAUAAAUGAUCUAAAAUACACGUAAUUUUUUACUACAAAUCUAAGAAUGUAAAUAAUAAUAAAGGUUAGGACUUUGAGGCCAAAUGCCACAUCACUAUUGGUUUUCCCAAAAGAUAUUUUUGAUUUAUGAGAAAUGAGAAAUGAUAAAGAGCAUAAAACUAUCCAACAAUGAUCAAAAUAAAAAGAAGCUUAUCUACUCUGUUUCAUUCUUCACUCUCUUCUUUCAUGGCUUCCUCACACCUCCAUUUCCUCUCUACUCCAAAUCCCAUUCUUCUUCUCCCUCAAUCCCAUCCCUCUUUCACAACCCCAUUACAAAUCACAUCAAAACGAGACCUCUCAAUCAAAUGCAACUCACAAGAUUCCGAAUCCGACCCCAAUUUCCCAUCCCCAGAUCCCAACUUCGGCGCCCUUAACCAACCUGAAACCUUCCCAAUAGAGAAACGAAGAAGAUCCGACAUACUUCGGCAAAGAAAACCCUCAACAGAAAUCGCAAAGCCGGAGCCACCCAACUUCGAAAUCGGAUGGAAAAGAACGAAGGAGAUCAGUGUUGAGAAGCCGAUCGGGUGGAUGAUAAUGGACUUUCUGGAAAAGUUAGAAGGGUUAAUGGAGAGGGAAUUUGGGUCGACGGAGUUGCUAGCGAAAGUGGGAGAGAUAGUGGCGGAAAGGGCGAGAGAGGAGGCGGAGAUUUUGCGAGACGACGGCAAAGUGGAGGAGAGAAUGGUAACAGAGCUUUUUAGGGUUUUGAAAUUGAUGGAAAUGGAUUUGGCUAUGGUGAAGGCGGCUGUGAAGGAUGAGACAUUGAGUGAACGGCUUGGUCAGGCUAAAGCAAGGUGUAGACAAGCUAUACUUGUUGCUAAUUCUUUUUGAGUUAUAUAACAAAUUGUUGAGGCAAUUCAUUUCUCUUUGUAUAGUGUAUCAGUCCAUUUUUUUCACCCUAAUUCAAAUUUAGUUUAGAUUCUGCUUUGAAUCGUGUGGUUUGUCCCUAAUACAUAUUUCCCUUCUUCCAACUAUCUGUUUGUUUUAAUACCUUUUUGUGGAUUUCUUGUCGUUGCAAACAAUAAGCAGAGAAUAUGAAAAUACUGUUCAUACUAUUAUUAGUACACACAAUUUUAUGGAUGUUAGGCCAAACAAUAUCAUACAAGAAAAUAUGAGCUUUUUUUUUCAGUAUUUUUUCUUCCCUCUCAAUUCACUUUGGAAAUAUAUGGUCAUUGUUUAAAGAGAAAUUAUAAUGGAUGACAAAAUUUAAAUGAUAUAAUUGAAUGCAUGUCAUUGACAUAUGAAAAAAAAUGGAGAUAUUUAAUAAAAUUCUUGAAUUCAAUUUUUUUAUAUGUCAUCUAUUUCAAAUGUGAUCUUUUAUCAAACACACUUUUGUUCUUUUUAUCGUUAGACAUGUUAUUUAUCGUUAGAUUCUUUUCUCUUAUUUGCUACAAGUAUGAACUAAUAUUGUGAAUGUUUUUCCUAAAGUAGGCUAUCCAUAUUUGUGAAACUUUCCUCAAUAGAGAAAGGGAUUUUAUGUUUAACUUUGGUAAAUGGUUAAUGAAUGGUUCAAAAUCUUGAUACGUAAAUAUGGCAUUUCGUCGACAAUAAUACCCUUUUGUUAGUACUUAUGGUGCGAUGUACAUGCUACUAAAUGUUUUUUAAGGGAGUAGGCUAAAAUGAACGUUUUUGUUUGUAAUGAUUGUUUACCAAAAGAAGGUGAAACCCAUCAUAAGACGCUGGCGAAAAUUCCAGGUAACUCGUAUAACUCUGGUUGAGUAAAAAUCUUAGUUCCAGGCAAGAGGAGAAUCUUGGGUCUGGACGAAGUUGUAAUACAACGCGUGAUGGAUGUGAAGUCUUGGUUUGAGAAGGCACUACUACCAAUUUGGUCUUUCCUGAUGCACACAAAAUUUAAUUUCUUGAUGGUCAUAGCAAAUGAUGACCAUUCUUGAUGCAACGUUUAUUUUGACGGUCAUGUACGUCACAAAAACCCCCCUUAUUUUAUUGAAGAAAUACGAAAAAAUGUGAAAUUUUCAUUUCCUUGAUGGGCAAAGUUCCCUUAGUUUUGUUGAUGGUCCACAAACGUCAAGAAAAUUAUUUCUUGAUGGAUAAUAAACAUCAAAGAUAAUAUAUUAGUUGAUUAGCAAUGCCCAUCAAGUUGAUAGAUUUUCUUGAUGGACAAUGCCCAUAUCAACGAAUGAAUUUUCUUGAUCUGCAAUAGCCAUCAUCGAAAAAAAGUUAAUAUAUUUGUUUUGGAUUUCUUGAUAGGUUUAGAAUUUUCUUGAUGGUUCCAAGGUUUCUUGAUAGACAAAGAAAAAAAAAAUCAUGGACAAGAUCCAUCAAGAAAAAUGAUACCUUGAUGGGCAUUGCUCAUCAAGAAAAAAAUUUAUAAUUUUGGAUUUUGGAUAAGAUCAUGGACAAGACCCAUGAAAAAAAAAAAUGAUAUCUUUGAUGGGCAUUGCCCAUCAAGAAAAAGACUAUUUCCUACCAAGCACGAAAUUUAGACCCUCGUUAACAGACGAUAUUCAUCAAUAAUAUUCUUAAAGCUUUACUAUUUUUUUCCAAUUAUUACUGUCUAUCCAUAAAUAAUACAAUAGUGCUUUUUAAAAAGUUAACUCUUGAAAUUGUAAUUAGAUUGAAAUAAGAGAACUCUUGAAAUUGUAAUUAGAUUGAAAUAAGAGACUUUAUUAAAAUUAAAUUAGGUUGUGUUCAACUUUAAGGAGUUGAAUUGAAAGUUUGUAAUUUAAGGUUUUGAAAAUUUGUAGAAGUUGUAGAACAUAAACUUAACUCAACUGACACCUGUAUAUAUAUACCUAAGGUUGGUGUGAGAAAAUAAAAGAAAAUUUAUUCUUUUUUCAUAAAAUAGAUAAAUAAAAAAAAAGAAUAGAUUAUUUAUUGCAUAUUUUGACCAUCGAAAUCAAUUUUCUUGAUGGACUUUUCAGUUUCCUUUAUGGGCAAAAAACAUCAAAGUUUACUUUAUCGAUGGUCAAUACCAUCAAGACAGAGUUUUUGAUGACAUGUUUUGACUAGUUUUCUUUAUGGUCGGACUUUCUUGAUGUCUGCUUACUUGAUGGGCAAAUACCAUCAAGGUAGACAUUUUUUGGCAUGCUUUCCAUAUCAAAGAAGGCCAAAUUUGUAGUAGUAAGGACGAAAAUGAUGUGAAUAUAAUGAGGCGCUAGUGGCAUUCCCAGGUAACUCAUGUAAUGCUGGUUAAGUCUUGGUUCCAAGUUCAGGACAGGGGAGAGUCACAAAUCUCGGUAAAAAAUAUAAAAUACAAUGUGAUUUAAACUCUUGAUGAUAUGGCAUUGAUGGAAUCGAUGGUUGUAUGAUUUGUGAUCAAAAUGCAGUUAGAUUGCUAGAUGGUUUAGGUCGUGAUACAGAUGGCACCUAUGGUAUGGAUGGUCGCAUUAACCGUGAAUUAUGAUUCAUUAUUCAAAUUUGCUAUGCGAUCUAAGUGUGCGGUGCUAGUGGCCCUUGCUGUACAAGUGGUUGAAUGGUUUAUGGCUUAUGGCUUAUGCGAUGAGACAUAUAUUUACUAUUGAUACUCAUAUCGUUAUGGUUUCCGUGACAUUUCUCCAAAAAGGUAUUUCCUCGAACUCAUCACUCACUUAAGUUUGUUUGACUUAUGUUUUUAAGUGUUUUCUCUCUCCAGAUUGUUAGGCGUUAAGACCAUGUGAAUAUUCACUCUGAGGCUGCAUAGCCAAAUUAAGGAAGGAAGACAAAGUGUCCCUCUAGUUUUUAUAUAGCACGUUGGCUAUGGAAGUUUCAAUUAUGCUUGGAAGGCCAAUUGGUAAGCAAAUUGCUCCUUAGUGUGGACGAUUUGACUCAGCAGACAGGCGAGUGCAAGACUCUGGUUGGUAAAAGAAUUAACUCGGUGAGCCAGAGAGCCAAGGAGCUGAGUUAAGGGAAGAGUAGCCCUAAUGCAGCACGCUAAGAGAGGUAGUUGGACAACCAAGGCAGAGAAGAAAGUGCCACCUUUACACCUCCAGGUACCCUCUACAAGGAACAACGUUCGUGAUAAAAAACAAGAAAUAAGAGGAUGGUUGGAAGUUGGCUCCAAUAUUAGAUAGCAAAAGAGUCGAACCGAAGAAAGGAAUGUUUUCUACAUCUAAGUAACCUCGUCAAGAUGUAGCAUUAGGUGACAUGCAAAAAAAGAAGAGAGGCAGUUGCCAAGCCAAGAUUAAGUUUAAGUGGCAAAGGAGUUUCUUUUUUAGUUGUAAUUACAAUAUGAAAAUUUGUAAAAGUGUUAGAUAAUAAAGAGAAGUUUUGUACUCAUUUCGUUGUUUUAUUUGUGCCUAUCAUGUAAACGGUACAAGAUUAAAAGAGAACGCAAUAUCAAGGACGCAUUAUUAAAAGUUUAAGAGUAGUUGUAUUAUGCUUCCUUGCGAAAAGAAAUUAGUGGCGUUAAGUUGAGUAAAAAGAGUUAAGUUAUUUCACUUACUAGAAGUUCAACGCAUUACCUCGCGAGAAGUAUAGAAUAAAAGUCUAGGUGGCAAGCUACCGCUUAAUUGUCAGAAGUGACUUUGGGGUGGGGUGUGACAAUAUUGGAAAAACCAUGUCAAAGAAAUACUCAAAAAGUCAUUAAUGAUACUCAAAAAGAUAGAAAAGAAAUAUUCAUGGACAUGAACCUUUUAAAAUUCAUCGGCACUGGGGUCAUUGAACUUAGGGAGCAAAUUAACAAUAAAUUAUCGUAUCAACUGGAGAUAAAAAGGUCCAACUUUAGUCACAAUGCGGAAGAGACCAACAUGCUUGAUCAAAUAAAUAACAUGCUUACAAGAAUGGUGUUAAUAAGAGAUAUUCAUAGUUCAUCUGCAAUUUGACGUUGCAUCACAUAUUUCCACUUACUAUUUCUGAACACAUGUGCUUGUACCAUAUCAGGAUAUUUCUGAGGAGCUUCCUUCUUUUAUUCAUUUGGUCCAUUGUCCGAUGGAAGAAGGAAAUAGAAAGGUCCUAGGAUUGAGCGCUUGAAAUACGUUCUCUUAUCUUGCUUAACUCGGAGGGAAAUUUAAUCAAGCAACCUAAAAACUAAAACCUUUUCUAUCACUAACUCAUUUCUAUUCCAUAAACAUUGAAUUAUCUUGUAUUAACAAUGGGACAAGAGAAGUCCCUCUUAGACAUUAAUUCUCAUUUUCUACUAUUCUCUCGAAAACUCUUCUCCAAUCAUUCUCUCUUAGAAUAUCUGAAGGUGAAAGUUCGAUUUCUAUAUCAUUUUCAUAUUUUCUCAUAUCCAUCUUUAGAAACAAAAGAUCAGAUUAUAAGUAUGAGCGGUUGAUAUUUUUUUCAUUGAAAUCUACAUGAUCGUUUAUACAAUCAUAUGUGAUCUCAUGUAUAAAAUGUACAAUGAUCGUUGUGAUCGUUAAACACGAUCGUGUCAUAAAGUUCAAAAUGAUUGUUGUGAUCUUUAUACACGAUCGUGUAACAAAGUCCAAACCAUCAUUUAUAGAGUGAUACAUGAUUUGUAGCAUAAUUUAAACAAUCAUGAAGACUUUAACUUUAGUUUGAGUCGUUUAGUCAAUCGAAAGUAUUCUUGAUUGUUUAGUGUAGGAUUGAAAGAUUGUAUAAUAUCAAUGGCCAUGCCCCAAAUAUUCGUAAAAAUUUGGAAUUAUUGUAAAUAUCAUGCAACUUUUCGUAAACCUCGGUCAUUCUCGCCUAAAUUCAUUCACUCACAUCCCUUUGGUCACAAGUUCGAGCUCAACAGACGGUUAUUUCAUAUUUUCUCUUCAAAUACUCCCUCCCCCCUUCACAAAUAAUUUUCACCAUUUCUCUCAAUUCUCACUUCAAGAACUCAAUUUCUUUUAAGGUACUCUCAUUUAGGGGAAUUGAAUUUUUUUUUGAGAUUUAAGAGGAAAGUAAUAAAAUACGGAUAAAUAAAAAAAACAAACAUUUUUCUUAUGUCGUUUUCUUUCUCCCUGUUUUUUUAGAGAGAAGAAAAAGACUAAAUAGUUUUUUUUUUAAAUGAUGAUUAAAGAAAGAAAAAGUAGUAAAAAAAAUACUAAAUUUUUCCCACAUUUUCUUUUCUUUCUCUUUAUCUUUUUAAAAGAGAAGAAAAGAAAAAUAAGGAUUUGAAUCCCAAAGAAAUUACUUUUGUAUGAGGUGCGUAUCCUUAGAAUUAAAUCCCUACCAAAUGCAAUCUCAAACUAAGUUUAUUUCAAUAUAAGAAUGGAUUUGCUUCAGACGAAAUUAAAAAAAAAAAAAAAGAGACAAUAAGUUAAUGAAAAAAAAAAUCUCACUUUUGCAGAAUUUUUUUCGCAGAGAUUUGCAAAAAGAAAUAAAAAAAUUAUAAGCACUCUCUAAAGAAUUUUCUAAGCACUCUCUAAAUUUUUUUUUUCUUUUAGAAACUUUCUUCCCUUCUUCAAAUGACAAAUACCCCUAUUUAUAGACCUAGGUGUACCACAAAUUAUGAAAAAAGAAUAAGACUAAAAUAAAAAUUGGAAAUUAUGUUAAUAAAAUAAAUUUUUAUUUUUCUAAAAUAAAUAAACUAAAUUAAAUGAGAUAUUUUGAGAUUUUGUGAAAAUUAAUUAAUAAAUAAAAUGGAUAGUAAAAUAUUUUUGUUUAAAAUUGAUUUUCUUUUUUUCCUUGAAUGAUACAAAUAAGUCAAAAAUUUUAUUAAUUUAUUUUUUCUUAAAAUGAGUAGAAAUAAGUUUUUUUAAAAAAUAUUUUAUUUAAAACUAAAUAAUUUCUUUGAUAUUAAAAGAUUUUAUUUAAAAUAAAUGGAUUUUUUUUAUUUCCUAAAACGAUAAAAAUAAAAUAUUAUGUUAUUAUUAAUUUUUUCCUUUUUAAAAUAAAAAAAUUUGUCCAUUAUUACUAAUAUUAUUAUUUUAAAAACGAUAUACGUAGGAUAAAAAUAGGUGGCUACAAGCUCAAUUGGCACCUGUAUAUAUACCUAAGGUGGGUGUGAGAAAAUAAAAGAAAAUCUAUUUUUUUUCAUAAAAUAGAUUAAAAAAAUAGUAGGUUUUUUAUUACAUGUUUUGAUCAUCAAGAAAUCAAUUUUCUUGAUCGAUUUUUCAGUUCUCUUUAUGGGUAAAAAAAUCAAAGUCUACUUUUUUUAUGGUCAAUACCAUCAAGAAAGAGUUUUUGGACAUGCUUUGACUAGUUUUCUUGAUGGUUAGGUUUCUUGAUGUCUGCCAACUUGAUGAGCAAAUACCAUCAAUGUAGACAUUUUUUUAUGUGUUUUGCAUAUCAAAGAAGGCGAAAUUUAUAGUAGUGAGGAUGAAAAUGAUGUAAAUAUAAUGAGGCGCUAGUGGCAUUCCCAGGUAAUUCACAUAAUGUUGGUUAAGUCUUGGUUCCAAGUUUAGGACAGAGGAGAGUCACAUAUCUCGGUAAUAAAUACAAAAUACGAUGCAAUUUAAACUCUUGAUGAUAUAUGGCAUUGGUGGAAUCGAUGGUUGUAUGAUUUGUGACUAAAAUGCAGUUAGAUUGCUAGAUGGUUUAGGUCGUGAUACAUAUGGCACUUGUGGUAUGGAUGGUCGCAUUGACCGUGAAUCAUGAUUCAUUCAAAGUUGCUAUGCAAUCUAAGUGUGUGGUGCUAGUGGCACUCGUUGUACGAGUGGUUUAAUGGUUUAUGGCUUAUGGCUUAUUUGAUGAGACAUAUAUUUACUACUGAUACUCAUAUCGGUAUGGUUUUCGUGACAUUUCUCCAAAAAGGUUUUUCCUCGAACUCAUCACUCACUAGUUCGCUUGACUUAUGUUUUAAGUGUUUUCUCUCUCCAGAUUGUUAGGCGUUAAGACCAUGUGAAUAUUCACUUUGAGGCUGCAUAGCCAAGUUAUGGAAGGAAGGCAAAGUGUCCCUGUAGUUCUUACAUAGCGUGUUGGCUAUGGAAGUUUGAAUUACGCUUGGAAGGUCAAUUGGUAAGCGAAUUGCUCCAUAAUGUAGACGAUCUGACUUAGCAGACAGGGGAUUGCAAGACCCUGGUUGGUAAAAGAACUAACUCGGUGAGCCAGAGAGCCAAUGAGCUGAGUCAGAGGAAGAGUAGCCCUAAUGCAGCACGCUAAGAGAGGUAGUUGGACAACCUAGGCAGAGGAGAAAGUGCCACCUUUACACCUCCAGGUACCCUCUACAAGGAACACCGUUCGUGAUGAAAAGCAAGAAAGAAGAGGAUGGUUGGAAGUUGGCUCCAAUCUUAGAAAGCAAAAGAGUCGAAGAGCCGAACCAAAGAAAGGAAGGUUUUCUACAUCUAAAUAACCUCCUCAAGACGCAACAUUAGGUGACAUGCGAGAAAAGAAAAGAGGCAGUUGCCAGGCCAAAAAAAAAAAAAAACUUUUGACUUUAACUUUUUCUUGGUGAAAUUAAACAUUAUUUACUUGGACUAAAGUUCAAUUGAAAAAAAAUAGGCUUAAUUUAACCCAAAUGCUAAAUAUGCCCUAAAUUCAUGUGCCUAUAGGUCUGAUCCAUGGAAAGCUCUAUAAAUAAAUGAGUUCUCUUCAUUUAUAAGAAACACAAUUUUUUUUUUAAUCAAGAAGAUCUAGUGAAAAUUCUCCUAAGAGCCAGAAGACUCCCUAACUCAUGUAGUCCACCAACACCAAAGAUUGAAGCUUCAUUGAAGAUACAAACUUUCUUCCAAGACUCCAACUUCAAGAACAUCAUGUGCUCUGCAUGCUUUCUUUAAAAUCAAGCAUAGACAUAUCCAAUUGAGAGAGAAUUAAAGGAUAUACUACUAAAGGUCGAACCACAUCGCAUCAAAUCAACAUAAAUAGAACAAAAACACAAGUUCUACUCCACGAAUUAAAUUUCUUUAGAAAUCUCGCGUGAAAAAUAGUGACAAAACAAUAUGUUACUAAAAGUUGAAAUUUUUAGUAGUGCGCUUAUGUCAGUAAAACUAAAGAUUUAGCAACUGAAAUUUUAGCUACGCGACUACUGUAAUAGUCAUAGCAACGUGGAACUUUGGGCCACUAAUACUUUUAAUCACACAUUAUGUAGUUACUAAAUAUUGAAUUUCUUGCCGUGACGAUAUAAAGAUUUUUUAAAAAAAUAAGUGGUGUAAUGAGUUAAUCUAACAAAAAAUUGUUGUUUUUUUACUUAUGUUGAUCACAAAUUUGUUAGACCAAAACAAAGAUCAGAGUUCACAACAACAAAUUCUUAAACCGAUUAUUUAAACCCUAACGUAUGUUGGUAUAUCAUAUAUACUUAAAUACAAAAUUUAAAAUUUCAUAUAGUCUAAACCUCUCAACCCUAAAUAAUUUUGUGCCCACAAAUACAAAGCUAUGAUCCCAUCAUUGCCUUAAACAUAAAAGAGAGAUCUCAUUCCAAGAUGAAAGUUUGAUUUUGUGUGUUGGGACCCUAAUGGCUUGUUAGCAAUGAAAAGGUAGUUAUUUGCUUAGGCUCCACAAAAUAGAAAAUAGAAAAUAGAAAAUAGAAAAAAUGAAUAUAUAAUUAUGGAUAAAAAAGAAGGUACCAAAAUCACAUGCAUAUGGGCUUCCCACUGGCCAUUAAUGAACAAAAUUUGUUUUGUUUUGAUAUCAUAAGUGUGAUCGAAGCCGACAUGCCCAUUCCCAUUUCACACUUUGGAAUUAGAAUCUUACAAAGUGUGUAUACAUAUUUUCAUUUUUGUUCAACGCGUUGGACAUUGGGAAAAAAUGGUACCUUUUCACUAAACAUUGUGUUUUAUUAUCAUUUGUUUUCUUUUUAAGUGUGAUGAGGCCUACAUAUGUAUCCAUGCAAAUUCUCACUUCACAUCAAACUUAAAUGUGCCGACUUCCCACCACAGUUACUUUUUUUCACUCAAAAUAUCAAUGGAAUAGUACAUGCCGACUCUAUCUUUCAAGCUUUUCAUCAAUCAACUUAACCCUUUAUCUCUAUUUUGUGUGAUUCUCAUUAAAAUAUUUUAAUUCACAAUUCAAACCUACUCUCUUCUCUCUUCUCUUUGUUAGGUAUAUGAUAUAUAUUUAUAAUUAUAAGUGAGAAAAGGAAAAGAGUUAUAAAACUUUAAUGUUGUGGACCAAAAGAGCAGUUGAAGCGUCACUGUCUUCUCAAAUUUGUGCUCUGCAGUCUUUAUAGUAGGUACACGAUGGUUCUUGAAAGUACAAUAGUUUCUUUCAAUCUAGAAUUUCCACAAAAUUAGAGAUAUGAUGUUAAAAUGCAAGAGUGGGUUUUGACGGUUACACUUCACUAACCAUUAAUUCAUCAAAAGAUUCAUUUUGAAAAUGAUGUGAAGAGGAAAUUUUUAGAUAAGCUACUAGCCAAUUGAUAGGUUUGAUUUAACGAUAUUUUGUGAUACAACAGUAAUGUAGAUUCACUUCAAACCUCAUGCCCAUAUAUAUGUGUGUGAAAAUAUUGAAAUAUGAAAAUAAAUAUUAAUUUCAUUGAUAAAUUCUAUUAUUAGUAUACUAUUCUUAGUAUUAUACAAAUAUACCUAGGUUUUAAAAUCUUAUUUUGAACUAAUAUGUGUGGAUGGAAAAGUAUUCAAUUAAAAUUUUGAACUAAUAUCUAAAAUAAUUAAAUAAGGAUUCCAGAUAACUUUUUAUUUAAAAUUUGAAUACUUUUGUUACUUAUACGUAAUAGAAAAUCAUUUACAUAAAAUUAAAUUCAAUUAUUCAAUUAUGAGCCAUCCACAAAUUAAAAACUUGUAAUUUAAAAAUGCUUUGAACCAAAAGAGUAGCCAAGGGGCUUUUGAAAAUUAAGUUGGGUACUUAGGUGGAUAGUGGUAUAUGUAUAUAUCCAAAAAUGGCUUUUACACAAAGAAUUAUAGUAAUAUUAGUUUUAUAUUAGUAGUAUGUUCGUACAAUAAAAACAAAAUCUCUCAACACCAAAACAUCCGUGGAGAGAUACAUGGAUGUUAGAACGCCAAUCUCUCAAAAUCCGAUAGUCAAGAGUUUCGUCAAAACUCCUAACAUUGAAAGUACUUUUAGGUUUCACUAUGUGAUUUAAUAACAAUAUCCAUUCACUCCAUAAAUAUACCGAACCAAAUGUGUGUAUUAUACUAUGUAUAUUUAUAUAUAACCCUACACAAAAUACUUCCUCUGAAAAAUCCAGGCAGUUGUCAUCUCAUAACAUCAAUUAUUAUUUCUUUUACUAUUGCUAUAUCAUUAUUAUAUAUAUAAAUAGAAUAUACAUAGUUCUAGUGACUCGGAAGAAUUGAUGUGAAUUUUCAACAGGCAUUUGCCACAAAAUUAAAGUUUGAGACUUUGCAAUAAUCAGAGAUAUGUUUCUUUUUUGUAAAGGCAUAUACAUAACAUUAAUUAAUUUCUUCCCAUAUUGCAAUGAAUUUCUGGUUAGAACCGUACAUUUUGUCUUGACAGAAUUGAAAAAUAAAAUGCAAAGUAAAAGAAAAAAUGGAAAUUUAAUUUAAAUCCCAGUUAGAUUGGAAUAAAGCCAAGUUAGGUCUUUUGUGACAAGCACAUAUAUGUUCAUGAUUUGUCCACACAAUUUAGAAAGUACUUUUAACUUUAAUUCAAACCUUAAUUAUCAUAUCAUAUUUUAACUAAUUAAACCCUUCUCUUCUCUCUUUCACAAAUUUUUCUCUGAUAACACACUCAAACGCGUGUUCUUCACUCAGCCAUAGAAUUUCUCAAUCACAAAAUCUCAAGAUUUUAAUUCUUUCACCUUAUUGCACAAGUUUCUAUGCAUUGCAUAUAUAAUAUAUAAAUGGUUCCAAAGUUCAGGGCUAACUCACACUCUUCUCUCGCUUCUUCAUUAACAUUCAAACCACCUCUCAUAAUCUUACUUCAAAAUGUUGGUCAUGAACAGAAGGUUUGCUUGCAUUGUUAGAGCUUUCUGAAGGUUAUCAAAAACUUAGGUUUUUUUUUUGUGCAAUCAAAGGUAUGAAAACAGGUUGAUCAUCAAAAUAACAUAUAUGCUUUUAGUUUAUUGAGCUAAUUUUGAUUUCCAAAUACUUAUUUUUUUUUCACUUCAAAACACUUAAAUUGAUCACAUAUACGUUUGAAGUUGGAGGUUUGAAAUUCAUACUAACAUUUGUGGUAUUGAAAAAGAAAUUCCAUGUCUUUUAUUGGUAAACUUUUCUUUUACAGCUUCAUCCUAAAGAGGAAUUUUUUUUUCACUCAUUUUUUUCUCUUAGAAAAACCAGCUCAUUGUACCUAAAAAUAAAUAUUCAACAUAUAAAGUACAAAGGAAAAUGAAAUUGUAAAUAAAAAAUUUAUAAGGGUUCUAUAGGCAGAAUACUUUUGUCCGAGAUAUAAUAAUAUGUGUUAGGUGCAAAUUAUUUUAGCAUGAGUAGAAAAAUAGUUAACACAUUGUAAUAAAGACGGAAAGAGAAAACAAAUAAGAAAUAGUAAACAUUGUAACGAAAUAAACUGUGUGAUAAAAAUGAAUUUGAAAUAAAAAUAUUGGAGUGAGUUAUAUAGAUUAUAACAAUUGAAAAUACCAACGGCUAUAAUUGGAGCACUAAAUAUGGAAUAAACUAUAAUAACUCACUUUAUUCAUUAAGGAUUGUUUGGAAAGCUAAAAUGUGUAAUUAGAAAUAUUAAUGAGAAUCUGAGGAGUGUUGGAGCGAAAAGUCGAGAAUGAAACAGAAAUAAGAUUGUGAAAUUUGAAAAUGGUGAAAAAGAGAGUAGACUUGAAAAUUACAAAAACAAAAUGAGUUUAAUUUAGUAUUAUGAAUUGAGCCAAAAACUCCAAUUCAAACAUAUGAGUUUUGGAUUACGUUACAUCACAAACUCUAUGGCAAAAAGACCAAGGUAACAUACAUAGAAAAAGUGAGAUGUUUCCAUGAUGCAUGCAUACAUAACAUGUCAAGAUAAAUGAUCAAAAGAUAUUUUAUUGUAUGGUUUGAAAAGCAUUUAACACUGUCUUUUCUAGAGCUUCAAAAAGCUAUAAACUCUUUAAAAAAAAAAAAGUAAGAUCUGUGUUGGCUUGUCAAUAUCUCUUCAAGUACAUACAACUUUUAGAAUAUAUAUAUAUAGUUGUUCCAUUUCAUUUUGUAAAUGCUAAAACCUAACUAUGAUUUAAUCAUCAUUUUGAUGAUAUCAGUUAAUUGGGGUUUGCAUCUGAAAUAUGGCCGAGAUUGAACCACCAUUAGAAGAAAGGUAUAAUGAGUUGAAGAAAGAGGAAUUAAAUGGCAGAAGAACUAUAGAAGCUGAUGAAGAAGUAAUAGAAGAAUGUGAAGAAGAAAUAGAGUUACCAGUGAUUGAUUUAGGGCAACUAAAGAAGGGGAAUUUAGAGAGAGAGAAAUGCAAGAAAGAAAUAGUGGAAGCAGCAAUGAAUUGGGGUUUUUUUCAAGUAAUAAAUCAUGGGGUUGCUGAGAAAGUAUUGAAUGCAAUGAUAAAUGAGCAAAAGAAAGUGUUUAAUCAACCUUUUGUUAACAAAAGUUUGAGUACUAAUUUUCUUAAUUUGCCUUCAACUCACUACCGCUGGGGUAACCCUGUCGCUAUUUCUUCCUCUCAAAUCUCUUGGUCUGAAGCUUUUCAUAUUCCUGUUUUGGAAGUUUCAACCUCGCACCAUCAUAUUACUCUCAGGUAUGCCCUCUACCUUACUGUCCCUUCUUCACUUUCUCUUCGUUAUCAACUCUGAUCUCUUUUGGAUUAUUAUUAUUAUUAUUAUUAUUAUUAUUAUUUCUCCUUAUUUUCUUCUUCAUUUCAUCAUCUUUAGGGUUUUUUUUCUUCUUUUCUUCUUAAAUUAAUAAUAAGAUGACAGAAACUUUAAUUUCAUCUGGUGAUCUUGUGCUCAAAUCACAAUUCAUCAAAAGAUUGGGAAAACAAAGUCACAAAGAAGAGAAUAUAUUUUGAUAGGCUUCUAUGAUAUGGGGCAUAAUGUAUUAAUUAAAGACAAAUUAACUAAGUAAUUAAUUAACUACACUUUUUCCAUGAUACAGUUAACUUGUAUCAAAACUAUAGUUAAUUCAUCCAGAGAGGGAGAAAUAGAAGGCACGGUAGACAGAGAAAAGUUAAUUAUUAUAAUUCAAAUUAAAACAAUUAUGAUCCAAACUAAAAUAAUCUGUAUAUCUUAAACAUAAACUAUCGUAAUUCAAUUUUAAUAACCUAGAAUUACAAUAAUUCCUUGUUCAAAACUUCCCCAAGUUUGUUUGAAAUGAAACUCUAUGACUAUGCUCAUGGUUCAUUUGAAGUUGUGGUUCAGUUGAAGUUGUGGUUUAUUUGAAGUUGAGUUCAAGAAUUAAAACGUUAAUAUUUCUCCUUAAUUGAUUAUACAAGUACAAGAUUCUACACUAUAUAAAUAUAUAGAUAGUACUCCAUUAUAUGCAGAAUAGAAAGUGUGUGGGUACACACGACCAAUAAUGAAGAAAAAUCUAUAAUAUAUGUUUUUUAUGUUUAUUAAGAACAUUGUAGGGAAAAGCUUGAUGACCAUUGGGAUAUAUAUAUAUAUAAUGAUCAUUGCUCUAAACGAAAGCUCCUCCAUUUAGUUCUUUUCGCCUUUUUAGUUGGAGCUUUCCUCUUGCUGUCUCUCUGUUUAUUUUGAAUGCAAAUUUUUAUUGGUUUUGGAACAUGACGUGGAUGCUUAGAGGAUGUGUUAACUUGGUUGAGAUAGUUUGGUGCAUCUACUGAUAUUUUUUAUGUAGUAUCUUGUUUAUAUAUAUAUAUAUUGACCUAGGUUCAAAAACUUUUAUGAAAAUAACAAUUUAACUUCACACUUUCAUUUAUAAUUUGAUACUAAAUUGAUACAUUACUACGACAAUGUAGUUCACGAAAAAUACUAAAUCGAUAAAGAAAGUAGGAACCAAAUAUUUCUAAAACUUACAAAUAUUUUAUCGUUAUUUGAUAAAAAUGACAGCUAAAUGAUGAAAUUUUUGUCCAGUAAAGAUUAGAUAUUGUUAUAAAUUUAAAACUAUGUAGUUUAGAUUUGAACGUACAGAGUUCAAGAAUUAAAUUAACACAUAUUUGAAAAUAUAAGUGAUGUAUUUUGAUGUUGAUUUGAUUAUUAUAGCAUAUAGGUAAUGACUAUCUGUGAUAGAAAAUAGUAAACACUAAAAAUAGGAAAAAAAUUUACACAUAAAAAAGGAUUUAAAAUAGUAAUAUGGUUGAUAAUAGUAGAUUAUUGUGAUAGUUUUAAAAUAUCAACUAUUUUAAUUGAAGCCCUAAACAUAAAAUGGAUAAUAAUAGCCCACCUAAACAUAAAAUGGGUAAUAAUAGCCAACUCCACCCAGUUUGACAUUUGAGGGCACCACUUAAGAGUCCCCCAAAUUAAAAUUUAAAAACUUAACUAUCAACAUUAUAUUUUUGUAACUAUUUCAUUUUUAGUUUUGGGUUUUGAAAAUUAAAGUUAUUUUAUAGUAUGAAAUGAUUUGCAUCUUUUUAGUACAAUUAAUUGAAUUGUUAACCAAAUUUCAAAAAGUAGAAAAAAAACUCAUUUUUAGAAGUUUGUUUUAUAAAAACUUGGAUAAGCUUUUUAAACUAUUUGUCAUGAAGUAAAUAAAAGAGUUUUCUGUAAUCUGUUUUUGUUAUAAAAGUGAUGUUUUAUAUGAAGCCGUAAUAGUAAAAUGUGUUUACUGUGUGCAUUUGUUUUCUAUUGUUGAUCAACACACACUAUUUAUAAAUCUUUGCUGUUCUCUCAAGAAUUCUUGAAUGUUCUUAAAAACAAGGAUUGGUUUGAUAUAUCUCAAAUGGAAAAGUCAAAAGCUUUAGUACAGUUAUUGUGUGAUUGAUUGAUAAGCAUAGUACAGGGUUUUAGAGCUACCCUAAACAAAAUUCAACUCCUUAAUCAAUCGUAUAAAAUCAGAAUAUAUGUUUUCAAGUAUAGAAAUAGGUAUUUAAAAGAAUUAACACCUCAAAUUUCUUAGAUAUUUUUUUAAACCUUUAAAAGAUGAUACUUUUAAGUAUAUUAAAAAAUAUCAGUAGAGAAAUUCAAAGCUACAGUAGAUUGUAUCAUAGUUAGAAAAAGUCUAGAUCUAGAAGAACAAAAGCAAAGCUAAUCAAAAUCGUUAACUGCUACUAUUAGAGCUUGAAAUUUAAAAUUUUUGAACUUUCAGUUAAAUAUUUCUUGCUUUUAAUGUUUAAAAUAGAUUAAAGCAAAAGUAGGGUUACAAGAAGUUACUACCCUCUCUUUGCUCCACUUUUCUUGAAAACCAACCAAUAAGGAAGACUAUUUUUACUUCUUUAAAUAAAAGAUAAACUCGUAUGCUUAUGUCAUUAAUAGACACAUAUAGACAUAAACAAUAGUGUAGGGUUGAUAGGUGAUUAUAUUCUGUUAUAUAUACACAUUCGUUUUGUAAUUUAAAACAAUUUAACUUAAUAAUACCCUUUCAUUUUUCUGUUUUUUAUUAGAAGUUUUCAAUUGGGUCCUUUUUUUUUUUAACCUUUUCACUUGUUUUGAAUUUAGUGUCUUUCAUUUACUUCGUGUAAGUACCAAGCAAAAAGAGAAAAGAAAAAGUACUUCUAUACAGGGAAGUUAAAACUUAACAAAAAAAAUAAUAUAAUUAUAGAAUUUUGAAAGAUAUUAGAACCCUUUGGUUUUGGGUCACAUGUUUGAAAAGUGAUCUAGGAUUGCUAAGCUAGUGGUAGGUAGAAAUGUUUAAAUUUUAUGUAGUUUGUUUUUUUUCUCUUUUUUCUUUUUUAAAAAAUUUUGAAAUGACUUUAAAAAAAAGUAAUACUUUUGGGUAGGAGUAGGAGUUGGGAGCAUUAUAAAACCCCGUACAUCAUCAAGUACUUAGAAAUAUUUUUACACUUAGAUAUUUUUUAAAUUUUAAACUCACUUUUUUGCUUAAGAGUCAUAAACAAAUUUCCCAUUUUUUUUAAUGUUUUUAAUUGACUAAAAUAAAAUUAUGUUUUUAAUUGAAUUUCCUUUGAGGUCUUGUAAGAAAAUGUUAGGUUCAUUCACUUUUGUGUUCUAUAAAAAGUUUGUACACUUAUUCAUGAAGUGGAGGUAGGACAUGUUUGACAAAAUUUGUUUUACUCCUUCAAAAUUAAAAUUAAAGUAAAUGCAUGUUGUUUGUAAUUGAAAUAUUGUUUUGAAGUGAUUUUAAAUACUAAAAAUUGUUCUAAAUCAAUUUCAAAAUUACUCUCAAGCCUCAAGUAUGUCGUUAAGAACCUAAGACCUAAGUAGUACUUUGGAAUGAAACAUAUUAAAGAAGUACAAGAGACAAGAUGUUGAUUAUUAUAGUUUACGUAUUAGGUAUAGAUUAUUUUAAAUCAUUUUAUUUUUCUAUUUUAAAAUAUCAUUUUAUUUUAAAAUCCUAAACCCUCUUUUAAAGUUGUCUAAUUAACUUCUUAGAAGAAGAAGGAGUAAACUAUUAUUGACUAAUUCAUAUUUUAAAGUAGAUAAUGAACUAAAAUUGAACUAACUUAGGAUCAAAAUAGUAGUAAUUUAACCUGUAAAAACUAAAUAAUCUUCAAGUAUGCAGAUGGGUACAUCCUUUAUAUAGGUGGAUGAGAUUAAAGGAAAUAUAGACCUACGUACAUACACACAUAUAUAAAUAAGAAAAAAAGAGAAAGGAAGGGUUUAGGGUAGGGGUACCCCACAGUGACUGAAAGGGCAACAGAGAGUGCAUAUGGCUAAAUGGACAGUGGUCAUAGUUAGACAUCACCCCAUCACAUGACCAUCACAUGAACAAGUUUGUUAAUCUCGUGGGGGCAUACCCCCUUUUCUUCCAUUAUCUUAUCUUCUUCUAUUUCUUGUUUCUUUUUCUUUCUUGCUUGGUUUUUAUGCAACAAAUUGAUUUUUGGCUUUAUUACUACACUUUUCUUUUCAUUUAUUGCUUCUUAGAUAUACUCUGUUUGCUAAAAACAUGACAGCUCAAAACUUCCCAUUUUCCCCAUGUGUCUAUUUCCCCCUCCUUAUUUUAUCAAUUUUAAUACAUACCAAAAUUAUAUUACUCAUUCUUUCUCCAUCUUUAUUACAAAUACUGCUUUUUCUUAAUUGCUUCCUUGUUUUUAUCUCUUUUCUGUGAAGCACAUUUUUCUUUUAACUAUCACUUAAUUGUAUACUUAUACUUACACAUAUCAUUUUUUUUUCUUUUAUAUUUUACUGUUUAUAUAUAUGUUAACUGAAGCCCUACUAAAUAAUUUUUUUUAACUCGAGUUGACUGUUGUAACACACCCUACGUUUGGAGAAUUAACUAAUUAUAGUAUAUAGUAGAUGUUUAUUUCCAUGUUUGCUCCCUAAACAAUGAUACAACAGCCCUAACCACCUUGUUAUAAAUUAUGUCUUUAAUCUUUCAAACAAAGAAAAGAAAGUGUACAGUCGAUUUUGAAUGUACUGUGUUUUAUUAAAGAAAGUGGAGAGUUGUUCAGAACACCAACUAGACAAAGUGUAAUAAGUUAGUAUAGCUCGCUCCAUGUUUGAAGCAUCAAUUAUGAUUUAGUAUACAUGUACAACUAUUUAAUUAUAACCUACAAUUAAGUAUAGUAAAUACUAUAUUUCAAAACUCUUGUGCGACAUUAUUUACUAUUUGCUGCAUUAUUUAGUAUUUUCCACUCAUCUAUUCUAUUAUUUUUGUUAUAGUGUUUACCAUUUCUUAAACAAACAGAAAAUUUUACAUCGCAAACACAAACUAUGAUAAUCUAGAAUAAAAUAGUAUAAAUCUCAAAACUAAGCAUCAUAGCUACUAACUAUUAUAACCAAUUAAACUACUAACUACAGUUCACGAUUGAUCUAAAUGUUUCGUUUUUAUAAAGUACAAGGUUUUUCUCUAAUCAUUCCAUGUUGAUCUUUUGUAUUCCUCUUGUGUUUAUGAAACACUCUUGUAUAUUCUAUCUUAUAUUGCAAUGUAAUCUAUCUCUUAGGUCUAGAGAUAUGAUGAGGAUGCUAUAGACAUGAUAUAAGCAUUUACUGAUGAAAUCCCUAACCUCGAAUCUUUGUUAAAAAAAUAUUUAUCUUUUGAUGAUGAAUCUGAUCCCAAAAUUGCACAGAUCAAUGUCUUGAAGAAACAAACAACCAAAUACUUAUCAAACACCUAAUCUAAAAUUAAAUUUAGUUUUAAUUGAUGUGUUAAAUGUGUUAUAUUUAUAAUUAAUCAAAAGAAAAAGGUUAUAUAUUGGGCUGUGUGUGUGCAUUUGAGACAGAACAACAAUGGAAGGAGUGGUGAAGAAGUUAGGGAGUUUAGCAGAGAAGAUAUCAGAAAUAUUAGGGCAAAGUUUGGGGAUAAAAUCAAAUUACUUCAAAGAAAGGUGUGAGAAAGGGAAGAGCAGCUUUAGAAUGAACAGAUACCCACCAUGUCCAAUUGCUUCACAAGUCUAUGGUCUCAUUCCUCACACUGACACUGAUUAUCUCACAAUUCUUUACCAACCUCAAAUCAGUGGUUUGCAACUCAAGAAAUCUGCUAAAUGGUUCCCUGUUAAACCUAACCCUCGAGCUUUGCUUCUCAACAUUGGUGACUUAUUUCAGGUACCUCCCCCAAACACUUCCUCUCUUUUCUCUUUUUUUUUUUUUAGUAUCUUGAAAAUGUUCAAGUCAAUUUACACUCUUGUCUAAGAAUAACCCAAUUGAUCCUACAACAUUUAAGUGUAAAAAAUACUUGUAGGAUAUUAAAUCAUAGAUAGAUAACUACUAUGAUUGAACCCAUAACUUUAGGUAAUGCUCCUAUUUGCUAACAAUGGUUAACAUUUUUUUUCUUUUUAGAUUUUUAAUGAUGUUUAAAUAUGCAGUUGAGAGUAGUGUUCAGAAAUCUAUAAAUAUGUUUCUAAUAACUAAGUGUAUCUUUAGCUUUGUUCAGCUCAUAACUUUGUUUUGAGCUUUCUGAUUUUCAAAUUUAUGUUUCUUUUCUCUUCUUGAUGUUUCUGUUAUAGUUAGUUUUCACGUCUUAAAGGAAUAUUUUAAUUCUAAGUCAUCUUUUAAAAUCAAGAUCAAGUUUUAAGAAAACUGUUUUUCUUUUUCUUUUAGUUUUAAGAAUUGGAGUUGUGAUGAAUGAGAUACUAGAUGUAGCUAUUGGUCUCAUGUUUUUUAGUGUCUCAUUUAAACAAAAACUUUGUUUCUUAAAAAAAAAUAGUAGAAUGUAGAUAAGAGAAGAUGUAGAAAUUAAUUUAUAGGGUGAAAGUAAUAUAUAUAAUUUGCAAAACUAUAAAUAAAAAUCUUCAUUAUAUUUGUUUUAAUAUACUUUUUUCUUAUUUUACGUUAUUAACCAAUUGAGUUAUGCGAAGAUAGAUUUUUCUUUUAGCAUUUAAGUAGAGUUUAAACGUGAACAGAAAAUACAUUUCUAAAAUUUUGGCUAAAAUCCUCCAAAUAUAUUUAGAAAAAUGUGGAAAUAAAACAAAUAAAUUAUUGAUGAUAAAAAUUAAAUUUUUUUUGAAGUAUCAACAAGAUCACAUUCUAUAAAAAAAAGUUUGCUUUAAUUUCCUUUAAAUACUAUUACAACUAUUUUAAUAAGAAACAAAAAUAUUAUUAUUUAAAAUAGGAAAAGAAACUUUGGACAGAUUGGACAGUGAUUUCAUAUAUAUCUAUUCAAUUUUCAAUUCUUAUAAACUAUCUUUGUUUUAUUCAACUAUUUACUUUUUUAAGUUUCAAGGUUAUAGAUAUACUUCAUAUAUCUCAAAAUUUCAAAAGCCAAUAUAUAUAUAUAUAUAUAUAUAUAAUAAGGAAGAUUGCAAAAUUUGUUUGUUUUUUAUAAACUUCAGAACAAAAUUAAUUUAGAUCAAAAUUUGAACAGGUAGACUUUUAGAUAGUUUGUUGUGAUCAAUAUUUUAUCCACUUGAGAAUUAUUGUACUAAUCUCGAAAGAUUUGAACGUAAUAGAAAUAAAAUCUAUUUCAUUUGGAAUAACUUUGUGUGUAAUAAAAGAAAAGAGGAAAAGUAUUUUUAUUCACUAGAAACUCAACUCAAGUAAGCUAUCAAAAAAGACUCGUUUGAAAAGCAAAAUUAGUUAUAAGAAUCAAAAACUAACAUCUUUUAAAGGUAGAUUGAGAUGUUUUAUAAGAAAAGAUAGAAAACUUCAUAUGUAUAUAUAUGUGUGUAUGUAUUAAGAGAGAUUUAAAAAAGAAAAAAAAGUUAUUUGAUAGGAAGAAUUGAGGACAAAACGAAAAUGGGAUAGUAAACUGUGAAGAUGUUAAAAAAAAGUUACAUUUAAGAACGGUCGAAACAAAAUGAAUUUGAUAUCACUUGUUGCGCUAGAAACAUUCAAUCAGGCACAAGCAUACGUUUUUGUUUACAUGACUUUGGAAGCUACUCUAAACAACUAAAAUCCCAAAAUAAACUACUCUAAACAACUAAAAUCCCAAAAUAUGAAAGCCCAAGUUGUAAUCUUAAAAGAUUGAUUCUUCCCAAGAAUAAUAUAAAUCGGAAAAGAUCAAAAGGGCACGUAAAGAAAGAAUUAUAUAAACAAGAUAUAUAUGACUAACCUUUGAGAAGAGAGAGUAAUAAUUAAAUGUAUAAUAGUUUGUACUGAUGGGAUGGGUGCAGGUAGUGAGCAAUGAUAUAUUCAGAAGCCUUAAACACAGAGUGGUGGCUUCAGAAGGAGUUGAAAGAUAUUCAUUUGCAUAUUUCUAUUGCCCGUCUGAUGAUGUGAUUAUUGAGAGUUGGUUGAAACCAAGCAUUUACAAGCACUUCAGCUACAAAGAAUACAGACAACAGAUUGAAAAAGAUGUUGAGAAAACAGGCAACAAAGUUGGCCUUUCAAGGUUUUUCUUGCACAAUAUCGCCUUGCCUCAUUAAUUAGUCUCUCAAUGAUCUAUAUAUCCAUUAUUAUUAAUUCUACCUAACUAUUAUGAGAGGAAAUUAAAUAAUUAAUUCAACUAGUAUAUAGCUAAGGAGAGGCUAUUUGGGUGUGUGUGUUUUGUAUCAAAUAUUGCCAACCUACAUAUAUAUCACUUUCUUCUAUGUUAUAAGCUCAUUAUCUACUUUAGAUUCACCCCAUUCAUAUCCAACUCUUCAUUAUUUUUAAACAUCUUCAUUUGUUUAGAUGUUUACUUUUGAAGUGUACACUUUUUAACUAGAACACUUAUUCAAAUACUUGAAAAGUUAAUCUAAACAUGUAUGGCCUUUUAUUGCUUUUAAAAAGUGUUUGACACUUGCCAAUAUCAUUAUAAGUUAGUGUUAAUAAUUCAAAUUCAAUGAUAAAGACUAUUGAAGUUUGAUUUUUAUUGAGAAAUUUCAUUUUCCAUUCUUUUUCUAUUUUGUAUAUUCAUUGAUCAUAAACUUCAUUUUACAACUUUUCACCUCAAGUAUAGGCUUUUUAACUCACAUAUUGACUUCAGACGUCACAACUUAACUCAACGUCUCAAAUAACUCUUAAAAGUGUAAAACUAUAACAAAAGUAAAGAGAAAACCCAGUUGUGGUGCAUAUACCCUAGUGUCAUAAUACAAUGUUUUAAUAGUUGAUUUUACAAUCAUAACUCUUUUUCCAAAUGGUAUAAUAACACUACAAUCAUAACUUUUUUCUCAAAUGCAUAUUAUCAUAAUACUACAAUAAUAAUCUCUCAAGUGCAUAUUAUCAUAACACUACUAUUAUAAUCCCUCCUCCAAACACAUACUACCAUUCAUAUUUCUUUCUCUAAACACAUAUUAUCAUAACAUUAUCAAUAUUAACCCUAAUCCCAAACACAUAUUAUCAUAACACUAGGAUUAUUA
rnacentral:lncRNA from 1 species